rnacentral:misc_RNA from 1 species
AACGCACAUUGCGCCCCUUGGUAUUCCAUGGGGCAUGCCUGUUCGAGCGUCAUUUGUACUCUCAAGCUCUGCUUGGUGUUGGGUGCUGUCUAGCUACUAGACUCGCCUUAAAAGAAUUGGCAGCCAGUGUAUUGGUCUUGAGCGCAGCACAAUUUGCACUCUUGUCAGCUACAUCUGGCAUCCAGAAGCCUUUUACAUCACGCUUGACCUCGGAUCAGGUAGGGAUACCCGCUGAACUUAA